AUCGCUGAAAACUGCCACAUAACUUGUAUAACUGCUGUAAGGCUUGGUUUUCAGCCAUAAGAUGGGAAGAGAAGUAACAUCUACCUUGCAGGAUGACUGCAAGCUGUAAAAUGCCACAAAGCCCAGGGGAGCCCAGAACCGCCGCAGCAGGACAGGUCCUCUGGAAGCAGACAGACCUGCCUUGUUACUUUAGCCAUCCAGAGUCCAGUUUAGCCAGUGAGGAAAUGAGUACAAAAGAACACCUUUCUUGUAGGAUUGCAAAAUGAUACAGAGGAUGUCUUCAUCCAUUCUGUGCUGCUAUAGCAGACUCCUGCAGACUGGGUAACUGACAGUUUACAGAAGCUUGUUGGCUUAUGGUUCUGGAGGCUGGGAAGUCCAACCUCAAGGGGCUGCAUCUGGUGAGGGCUUUCUUGUUGCAUCAUCACAUCGCAGAAUAGCAGAAGGGCAAGGAGAGAGAGAGAAAAGAAUGCUGAACCCACCCUUUGAUAAGAAGCCCACUCCCAUGAUAACAGCACCAGCCCAUUCAGGAGGGCAAAGCCCUCGUGGCUGCAUCGCCUCUAAAAGGUUCCACCUCUCAAGAUCAUCACAAUGACAAUCAAACUUCAUGAAUUUUGGAGGGGACAAUUAUUCAAACCAGAACAGAGGGGGAUGGCAAAUGUUCUGAAAACAAGCCUAGAAAUUGAUCUUAGAAAUGCAAAAGUAGAUUUCCCCUUCUGUCUUUACCUGUGAUGGUCUAACCCCAAAAGCCUCCCAGAACAGAACUUGUGAGCACAAGAUAGAAACAACAAACUUGAUGCAGAGCUGAGCUCACAAGGAGGUCAGGGAUGUGACAGGAACCAGAGACAAACAGAAGGCUGAAAACCAGGUCUUAAAGUGUGAGAGCCAAAGGGCAGCAGCCCAGGAGAGUGUUCGUCUGGAGCCUCGGGGUUUAAGUCUCCACACUCACAUGGGAAAGGAGACGAGGCCUCCCUGGAUCCACGUGAAUCAGGAACUGGAACAAGGGCACUCAAAGGGCUACGCCGUCAGGAGAGAUGUGAAUGAGUGUGCCCACAGGAACAGGAAGACAACAGGAUGGUUCUGUGUUUGCCUGCCUGUUGUGGUUCUGUGAGACAGAAACAGUUUUGUUGACAAUUGAUAAUCAGGACUCAGAGCCUCGUUAGACUUCAGGUAUUGAAUUUUUUUUUUUGAGACAGGAUCUAGCUGUGUUGCCCAGGCUGGUCUUGAACUCCUGGGCCCAAGUGAUCCUCCUACCUUGGCCUCCCAAAGUGCUGGGAUUACAGGCAUGAGCUACCGUGCCCAGCCUAGGUAUCGAAUUUUCACAGGUUUCACAGUCUAGGCCCUACCACCCCUGCAGCAAAUAACUUGAUAUAAAACCUGGGCCCAGGCUAGUAAUACCCUUGAAGCCCAUGACAGAAGCAGGCACAGUGAUAGAAGCAAAAUCACGUAGACAUUAUCAAUCUAGCCCCCUCCAAUUCCUACCCAUAAAGCCCAAUGAAGAUGAAUUUACAAUCAUAAAGUACAAAACAUGCCAAGAAAGAACCACAUGAGGGAAGUCAGCAGAUGUGUGAACAGCAGGAACGGACUCCCCCACCAAAGGCCUUCAAAAGAACCAGCUGGAACCCUCUGGAAAGUUCCAGAACCACCAGCAUCAGGGUGGCCAAGACGUGGGCACUGCCAGACAGGGGACCAUGUGGGGCCAGAAGAAAUUAUAGGACAUAGCAGGUCUCAGACAUGACCAGAGACUGCUGCCAGUGGUGGAAGGCUUCCCUGAGCGUGAUGACCUGGCCACUCCACAGGAAGCCUCCACACCCAAGGUUAAAGGUGUCCAGCUGCGGCCAGGGUUCCGGGGUACCUGUGGAUCCCGUGACGUGGCACCGAAGAUCUGAGCUGUGCAGAGGAGCUGCACCACAGAGGCCAGGUUUCCGUGUGGAGAACGCGCAUAAUGGGAGGCCUUGAGCUGAGGCCCAGUCCCCGACCCCCACCCCCACCCACCAGCAGGGGAUUCUCCUCAGGGCCUCACAGAGCACCACGUGGUGUCAUUGCUGGUCCUGCCAUAGCUCCCAGGACCAAUGCUUCCCAGAACUCCCUGCUACAUAAAUACAUCCGGUCCCUUUCCCUCGAGAUCUUGAAAAGUGAAGACUUCACUUGGCAGUAACGGUAAAACAUUUCAACAUGGUAAGUUGUCAUUUUAUGCACACAUGGAAUGGUGGCCCAUAAAGGGCCUGGGGGUCCAAUAUCCUACAUACUGGACUCCUCAUUAGUCCUCUGAGUCUUCUGUUCCCCAACACACUGCAUUGGGAUCAAACUGAAUUUGCAGCCAGGCAUCAUAGCUCAUGCCUGUAAUUCCAGCACUUUGGGAGGCUGAGAUAGAGGAUCACUUGAGACCAGGAGUCCAAGACCAGCCUGGGGAACAUAACGAGACCUUGCCUCU
rnacentral:antisense_RNA from 1 species